UACAGAGGUGGCAAGCGUUGUUCGGAAUUACUGGGCGUAAAGGGCGCGUAGGCGGCCUACUAAGUCAGACGUGAAAUCCCCCGGCUUAACCUGGGAACUGCGUCUGAUACUGGAAGGCUUGAGGAUGGGAGAGGGAUGUAGAAUUCCAGGUGUAGCGGUGAAAUGCGUAGAUAUCUGGAGGAAUACCGGUGGCGAAGGCGGCAUCCUGGACCAUUACUGACGCUGAGGCGCGAAAGCUAGGGGGGCAAACGGG
rnacentral:rRNA from 1 species